rnacentral:rRNA from 1 species
GACGAACGCUGGCGGCGUGCUUAACACAUGCAAGUCGAACGGAAAGGCCCGGCUUUUGUGGGGUGCUCGAGUGGCGAACGGGUGAGUAACACGUGAGUAACCUGCCCUUGACUUUGGGAUAACUUCAGGAAACUGGGGCUAAUACCGGAUAGGAGCUCCUGCUGCAUGGUGGGGGUUGGAAAGUUUCGGCGGUUGGGGAUGGACUCGCGGCUUAUCAGCUUGUUGGUGGGGUAGUGGCUUACCAAGGCUUUGACGGGUAGCCGGCCUGAGAGGGUGACCGGCCACAGUGGGACUGAGAUACGGCCCAGACUCCUACGGGAGGCAGCAGUGGGGAAUAUUGCACAAUGGGCGGAAGCCUGAUGCAGCAACGCCGCGUGCGGGAUGACGGCCUUCGGGUUGUAAACCGCUUUCGCCUGUGACGAAGCGUGAGUGACGGUAAUGGGUAAAGAAGCACCGGCUAACUACGU